rnacentral:rRNA from 1 species
AGAGAAUAGAUACCCUGGUAGUCCCAGCCGUAAACGAUGCUCGCUAGGUGUCAGGCAUGGCGCGACCGUGUCUGGUGCCGUAGGGAAGCCGUGAAGCGAGCCACCUGGGAAGUACGGCCGCAAGGCUGAAACUUAAAGGAAUUGGCGGGGGAGCACAACAACGGGUGGAGCCUGCGGUUUAAUUGGACUCAACGCCGGACAACUCACCGGGGACGACAGCAAAAUGUAGGCCAGGCUGAAGACCUUGCCUGAAUCGCUGAGAGGAGGUGCAUGGCCGUCGCCAGUUCGUACUGUGAAGCAUCCUGUUAAGUCAGGCAACGAGCGAGACCCGUGCCCACUGUUACCAGCAUAUCCUCCGGGAUGAUGGGUACUCUGUGGGGACCGCCGGUGUUAAACUCGGAGGAAGGUGCGGGCCACGGUAGGUCAGUAUGCCCCGGAAUUUCCCGGGCUACACGCGGGCUACAAUGAAUGGGACAAUGGGUCCUCCCGUGAAACGGGUCUGGUAAUCUCACAAACCCAUCCUUAGUUCGGAUCGAGGGCUGUAACUCG